CGUAUCCUCUGUGACUGACUGGUUUGAGCUGCUCUGGGAUAGAAAAGGCUGAGACAAGCUGAAGGCCUUGGCUGCUUUAGCCCUUGAUCUGGUCAUUGGUUUGCUUAGGGCCCGAUAGCCCUCCAUGAAGACCUCUGCAACAUCUUACGUCUCCUUUUCCCCAAGCCCUCCUUGGCAGGUACUAGAAGGCUCAAUGAGAUUUCCUGUGGUUUAUGACCCAAGUUGACAACUGUGACUUCUUUGUGGCGUUCUGAUGGUUAUGUCAUAUAAGAAUCACCUUAUAUCAUUUGAGAAGCUGCUGACACAGAGCACCGGUUUGAUGGAUGACCUGAGUUGCUGCUAUUCCCUCAGAGUUCUUCUAGGCUGAAAAACUGGAAAGUGCCUGAAAUGUAUGGUCAGUUUUCCUGCAGAAUAAGGCUAAGUUCUGAGCAAUGUAAAGAAUGGGUGACUAGACCAGAAGCUUCCACAAGACCAGGCCUUGAUGAAAUAGACUUCUCUGUAUGGAGUGAAGUGCCACUUGUCAGUGGAAAUAGUGUCAAUUCUGCUUGCUAAAGAAGAUAUAAGAAGCCAAAAGUGGGAGGUAGGUAGAAAUAAAAAGGCAAACAAACAAACA
rnacentral:lncRNA from 1 species